GGAAAAGAUAUAGCUCAGUGGUAGAGUGUGUGCUUAGGAAGCACAAGGUCCUGGGUUCAAUCCCCAGUACCUCCA
rnacentral:tRNA from 1 species